rnacentral:rRNA from 1 species
UAGGGAAUUUUCGGCAAUGGGGGAAACCCUGACCGAGCAACGCCGCGUGAGUGAUGAAAGUCUUCGGAUUGUAAAGCUCUGUUGUAAGGGAAGAACGGCUUGAGGGGAACUCAAGAGUGACGGUACCUUACCAGAAAGCCACGGCUAACUACGUGCCAGCAGCCGCGGUAAUACGUAGGUGGCAAGCGUUAUCCGGAAUUAUUGGGCGUAAAGGGUGCGUAGGCGGCCUUUUAAGUUUGUGGUGAAAGCGUGGGGCUCAACCCCAUACAGCCAUAGAUACUGGGAGGCUAGAGUACUGGAGAGGGUAGUGGAAUUCCAUGUGUAGCGGUAAAAUGCGUAGAUAUAUGGAGGAACACCGGUGGCGAAGGCGGCUACCUAGCCAGAGACUGACGCUGAGGCACGAAAGCGUGGGGAGCAAAUAGG